CAGCCAGGAAGUUCUUCUCACAUCCGACCACCUCCUCUCCUGCUUUCUGUCCAUUUCAUAGGAUUCCUUUUAGCCAACCUCAACUACCCGCAACCACUUCUGAGGUACAGACAUACUGGCUGCUGAAAAAUGACUGUUGUGGGCAAGGAUGGAAGAAGGGGGCCAGCCAGGAGGGACGGUGGCCUGGACAAGGUGGCAGCUGUAGAGGAGAGAAGGUCUGGGCUCCAGCGAGGCUCCCAUCUCAGCACCCCGAUCCCAUGCGGGGGCACCCGAGGAUUCCGUGGUGGAACUGGGGCUCUUGGGUUUGGGCUCUGCAGUUUGCCUCCUGUCCCUGUGGGCCACCGAGAGCCGGGGGCUGCUGUGUGCCUGGCCACGUGGUGCCUGUUCACUGGUGACGCACCUCCACGUGGGCCGCGGGGCCUCGGCUCCCUGAGCGCGACCAUCCGUUGUUCCCUGCAGGAUCCCGACGGCAGG
rnacentral:lncRNA from 1 species